UCUGCUCAAUGAUUUUUUAAAUUGCUGUGGUAUUUUGACUAUACAAAGGUAUUGAAAUAAGAUUUUAAUUGAAUGCUAAGAGAAUGGAAUUUCAGAAAAAAACUUUUUUCAAGUUAAAAAUUGAAAUUUUUUUAAUUUGUGCAGAAACAAUUAUUAAUAUUAAGGACAAGAAGACCCUAUGAAUUUAUAAAUUUUAUUUAAUAUGUAACUACUAUUGAAAAAAUUUUAGCUGGGGCGGCGGAAAAAUAUUUAAAACUUUUUUAAAAUAAAAUGACCCAUUAUUAAUGAUUAUAUGUUAAAUACUCUAGGGAUAACAGCGUAAA
rnacentral:rRNA from 1 species